ACUCCUACGGGAGGCAGCAGUGGGGAAUUUUGCGCAAUGGGCGAAAGCCUGACGCAGCAACGCCGCGUGAGUGAUGAAGGCUUUCGGGUCGUAAAGCUCUGUCAAGGGGAAAGAAGUGUACUUUGGUUAAUACCCAUUGUAUUUGACGGUACCCCUAAAGGAAGCACCGGCUAACUCCGUGCCAGCAGCCGCGGUAAUACGGGGGGUGCAAGCGUUGUUCGGAAUUAUUGGGCGUAAAGCGCGUGUAGGCGGUUUGAUUAGUCUGAUGUGAAAGCCCUGGGCUCAACCCAGGAAGUGCAUUGGAUACUGUCAGACUUGAAUACGGGAGAGGGUAGUGGAAUUCCUAGUGUAGGAGUGAAAUCCGUAGAUAUUAGGAGGAACGCCGGUGGCGAAGGCGGCUACCUGGACCGAUAUUGACGCUGAGACGCGAAAGCGUGGGUAGCAAACAGGAUUAGAUACCCUGGUAGUCCACGCCGUAAACGAUGAGAACUAGGUGUCGCGGGUA
rnacentral:rRNA from 1 species